rnacentral:rRNA from 1 species
CGCCUCUUGACUAAUUAUAAGAGGUAUAGCCUGCCCAGUGACACAAAUUUAACGGCCGCGGUAUCCUAACCGUGCAAAGGUAGCGUAAUCACUUGUUCUUUAAAUGAGGACUAGUAUGAACGGCACCACGAAGGUUAUACUGUCUCCUUUCUCUAAUCAGUAAAACUAAUCUCCCCGUGAAGAAGCGAGGAUAAACCUAUAAGACGAGAAGACCCUAUGGARCUUUAAACUAACCAGCAUUUGCUUUAUAWAAAUUCUUARAUAGCUUAAAAACAUCUAGCUCUCUGACUGGUAAUUUUCGAUUGGGGUGAUCACGGAACAAAAAUAACCUCCGUGUCGAAAGAAUCUAUCUGAGCAAAAAGCGACAGCUUUUCGCACUAAAAAAUUAACGUUUAUUGACCCAAUAUUUUGAUCAACGAACCAAGUUACCCUAGGGAUAACAGCGCAAUCUACUUCAAGAGUUCCUAUCGACAAGUAGGUUUACGACCUCGAUGUUGGAUCAGGGUAUCCCAGUGGUGCAGCCGCUACUAAAGGUUCGUUUGUUCAACGAUUAAAACCCUA